GGAAACGAUGUGGGAAGGCCCAGACAGCCAGGAUGUUGGCUUAGAAGCAGCCAUCAUUUAAAGAAAGCGUAAUAGCUCACUGGUCGAGUCGGCCUGCGCGGAAGAUGUAACGGGGCUAAACCAUGCACCGAAGCUGCGGCAGCGACGCUUAUGCGUUGUUGGGUAGGGGAGCGUUCUGUAAGCCUGUGAAGGUGUACUGUGAGGUAUGCUGGAGGUAUCAGAAGUGCGAAUGCUGACAUAAGUAACGAUAAAGCGGGUGAAAAGCCCGCUCGCCGGAAGACCAAGGGUUCCUGUCCAACG
rnacentral:rRNA from 1 species